UACCGAGGGGGCAAGCGUUGUUCGGAAUUACUGGGCGUAAAGGGCGCGUAGGCGGCCUGUUAAGUCGAACGUGAAAUCCCUGGGCUCAACCCAGGAACUGCGUCCGAUACUGGCAGGCUUGAAUUCGGGAGAGGGAUGCGGAAUUCCAGGUGUAGCGGUGAAAUGCGUAGAUAUCUGGAGGAACACCGGUGGCGAAGGCGGCAUCCUGGACCGAUAUUGACGCUGAGGCGCGAAAGCCAGGGGAGCAAACGGG
rnacentral:rRNA from 1 species